rnacentral:sRNA from 1 species
GAGAACCUCCGGGGGCAGGAGGUUCGACUCGAGCGAAGCGAGAGAACGUUGCGUCAGCAACGGCCCGCAGGGCGAGCCACGAAGUGGUGA